rnacentral:misc_RNA from 1 species
GAUGAAGAACGUAGCGAAAUGCGAUAAGUAGUGUGAAUUGCAGAAUUCAGUGAAUCAUCGAAUCUUUGAAAGCACAUUGCGCCCCUCGGUAUUCCGUGGGGCAUGCCUGUUCGAGCGUCAUUUACCCCUCAAGCACUGCUUGGUGUUGGGCGUCUGUCCCGCUUCGCGCGCGGACUCGCCCCAAAGGUAUUGGCAGCGGUCGCGCCAGCUUCUCGCGCAGCACAUUGCGCUUCUCGAGGCGGUCGAUCGGCGUCCACGAAGCUCACCUCCACCGUUUGACCUCGGAUCAGGUAGGGAUACCCGCUGAACUUAAGCAUAUCAAUAAGCGGAGGA